rnacentral:tRNA from 1 species
GAGCCGCUAGCUCAGUGGUAGAGCACCUGACUUUUAAUCAGGGUGUCCCGGGUUCGAUACCCGGGCGGCUCACCA